UGAGUUUGAUCCUGGCUCAGGACGAACGCUGGCGGCGUGCUUAACACAUGCAAGUCGAACGGGGUUUUAGGGUAGCUUGCUACCCGAAGAACCUAGUGGCGCACGGGUGAGUAACACGUGGGCAAUCUGCCCGGAAGUCUGGGAUAACAGCUCGAAAGGGCUGCUAAUACCGGAUACCUUCACGAAGUCACAUGUCAUUGUGAAGAAAGUUUUUCGCUUCCGGAUGAGCCCGCGUCCCAUUAGCUAGUUGGUGAGGUAACGGCUCACCAAGGCAACGAUGGGUAGCUGGUCUGAGAGGACGAUCAGCCACACUGGAACUGAGACACGGUCCAGACUCCUACGGGAGGCAGCAGUGGGGAAUCUUGCGCAAUGGGCGAAAGCCUGACGCAGCAACGCCGCGUGAAUGAUGAAGGCCUUCGGGUCGUAAAAUUCUGUCAGGGGGGACGAAGAUCUGACGGUACCCCC
rnacentral:rRNA from 1 species